CUGAGAGCGAUCGAUGCAGUGAAUCUCCGUUCUGUAGGCCGCCGUGAUUGAGUGAGAAUUGAGAAGAACGCUCGGGUUACCUUUAGCUUUGAUUUGAGUUUUGCAUUCACUGGUUUGUACGAUGUCAUACUCCCGAAGGUCUAGGUAUUCCCGCUCCCCAUCAUACAAACGAUCAGUCUCAAGGUCCCUGUCAAGGUCAAGGAGCCGUUCGAGGAGCCCUUCAAGUGACGUUGAAAAUCCUGGGAACAACUUGUAUGUCACUGGUUUGUCACCUAGAAUAACAAGAAGAGAACUUGAGAAGCAUUUUUCUGCUGAGG
rnacentral:misc_RNA from 1 species